rnacentral:rRNA from 1 species
GAUGAACGCUGGCGGCGUGCCUAAUACAUGCAAGUCGAGCGAACAGACGAGGAGCUUGCUCCUCUGACGUUAGCGGCGGACGGGUGAGUAACACGUGGAUAACCUACCUAUAAGACUGGGAUAACUUCGGGAAACCGGAGCUAAUACCGGAUAAUAUAUUGAACCGCAUGGUUCAAUAGUGAAAGACGGUUUUGCUGUCACUUAUAGAUGGAUCCGCGCCGCAUUAGCUAGUUGGUAAGGUAACGGCUUACCAAGGCAACGAUGCGUAGCCGACCUGAGAGGGUGAGCGGCCACACUGGAACUGAGACACGGUCCAGACUCCUACGGGAGGCAGCAGUAGGGAAUCUUCCGCAAUGGGCGAAAGCCUGAUGGAGCAACGCCGCGUGAGUGAUGAAGGUCUUCGGAUCGUAAAACUCUGUUAUUAGGGAAGAACAAAUGUGUAAGUAACUAUGCACGUCUUGACGGUACCUAAUCAGAAAGCCACGGCUAACUACGUG